CAUGAAUGAGAUCCUGAAAGAACUAAAUGGAGUUCAGUGUUAUUUGUAUAAUAUCCUUGUUACAUGAAAAGAUCAAGAGGAUUGUCUUCAAAAUUUGGAUACUAUCUUGCAACAUAUGGAAGACCAUGGACUGAGAAUACGUCAAGAGAAAUCCUGAAUUUGUCUAGCUUCAACUUCCCUCCAAUGGAUCCUGCCGUGAGAAAAGCAGAUUUUAAAACACUUAUUAUUUAUAGAAAAACUAGAUGCUUACCGCCAGCACCAGCAGCAAGGUGUGUGCCUGACUUCAACAGCAGAACUUUUUAGGACACUAAAGCACAUCAAGGGAUAGGGCCAGGAUCCAGCUGCAAGCACCGAGCUGACAGAACCACAGCCAGUCACAGGGCUUCUGCCAUGGCUCAGGGA